GGUACGGGCAGACUAGAGUGCGGUAGGGGAGAUUGGAAUUCCUGGUGUAGCGGUGGAAUGCGCAGAUAUCAGGAGGAACACCGAUGGCGAAGGCAGAUCUCUGGGCCGUAACUGACGCUGAGGAGCGAAAGCAUGGGGAGCGAACAGGAUUAGAUACCCUGGUAGUCCAUGCCGUAAACGUUGGGAACUAGAUGUGGGGGCCAUUCCACGGUCUCCGUGUCGCAGCUAACGCAUUAAGUUCCCCGCCUGGGGAGUACGGCCGCAAGGCUAAAACUCAAAGGAAUUGACGGGGGCCCGCACAAGCGGCGGAGCAUGCGGAUUAAUUCGAUGCAACGCGAAGAACCUUACCAAGGCUUGACAUAUACCGGAAACGUCCAGAGAUGGUCGCCCCGCAAGGUCGGUAUACAGGUGGUGCAUGGUUGUCGUCAGCUCGUGUCGUGAGAUGUUGGGUUAAGUCCCGCAACGAGCGCAACCCUCGUUCUAUGUUGCCAGCACGUUUAUGGUGGGAACUCAUAGGAGACUGCCGGGGUCAACUCGGAGGAAGGUGGGGAUGACGUCAAAUCAUCAUGCCCCUUAUGUCUUGGGCUUCACGCAUGCUACAAUGGCCGGUACAAAGGGCUGCGAUACCGUAAGGUGGAGCGAAUCCCAAAAAGCCGGUCUCAGUUCGGAUUGAGGUCUGCAACUCGACCUCAUGAAGUCGGAGUCGCUAGUAAUCGCAG
rnacentral:rRNA from 2 species